AUGACUUUGGAGGGCCAUGACCUUCAAGAGAAAGAUCUCCGAUCCUUGGAACUUACUAUGAGCAAAGGAAUGGGUUCUUCAGUGCCAAUAUCCAUGAGCCCUUUCUCCAAUUCUAGGAAAAGGUGCAUCUGCUCUUGGCUUCCUUUGACCUCUCCCUCUAUAAGGAUCAUGGGACUCCCACCUAGAUGGUCUGUUGGGAAUUCUAUCUUUGUGAAUUUGGGAGGUAUAAGUAGGACCUUUUUUCAUCAUAACUUUUUUUUUCCUGUUUCAGGGCUGCCAUCUUGAGACUCUACCCUUUACCAAAAAGGGAGAAUUGAAGAGGAAGUGACUUCUGGACUCCUAAGAGCCUUAUCUCAGGUGAAUUGAGAUUUCCUUUCUUUCUUGAAGUAUAGUCUGAUUUUUCAAUCCAUGUUUCUUUCCUUUUUCCGUCUUCUUUUGUGUUUAGCCAAGGCCCUGAACAUCAGUUGUCCUCCCUCCAAAGACUGUUUCUCUUCUCACAAAUAAUAGUAGGAUUCUUAGAGUUCAAAGAUCGUUAGAGCUUAGCCUAGCUGUCUAUGCUAUGCUCAUAAGUGGCUGGACGUGGGCUAGAAUUAGACUAGAACUCAAGCUCCUGACAUGUAAAUCAUUUUUCUUUUUUUUUAUAUCAUGGUGCUCUCUAGGAAAUUUUCCUACAGUCUGUUCUCUCUUCCUGUUGAACGUUUAUUCAUACAUUUGAUUCAACCCACUGUAUAUUCAGUAUUG
rnacentral:lncRNA from 1 species